rnacentral:rRNA from 1 species
UACGGAGGGUGCAAGCGUUGCUCGGAAUUAUUGGGCGUAAAGGGUAGGUAGGUGGUCUUAUUUGUCUGGGGUGAAAGCCUUGAGCUUAACUCAAGAAGUGCCUCAGAAACGGUAAGACUGGAGUCCUGGAGAGGGUCGUGGAAUUCCCGGUGUAGCGGUGAAAUGCGUAGAGAUCGGGGGGAACACCAGAGGUGAAGACGGGUUGCUGGGCUGACACUGACGCUGAGGCGCGAAAGCCAGGGGAGCAAACGGG